AAAGGGACCUGAUAAAGACAAAAGGAGCAGUAGCUUGGGUCACGGUAUCAACCCCCUGUGCACUUUCUUGAUUGCGACAGUAUAUAAGCAUUUAAGAAGAUAUCCAGAAUGGCAGAAAACAAUGAGCCAGUGUCCUUCUUGGACUUGGCUAUUGUCAUGAAGUAUUUAGACCCAAACAUGAAAUUAUCAGAAGCUCAAAUCCGGGUUUCAGAGCUCAAAAAAUGUGUUUCUGACAUGCUGAAUCUAACACAUCGUCCAUCAUUAGCAUUCUCUGAUGAGAAUUCACUUGCUCAUGGUUUGAACUUACGUGGUACUGCAAAGGAACAAAUCCAGGCUGUUAUUGACUACAAUAAAUCUCAUCCCCCGUUGAAAAUUUUUUAACUAUUAUGAGUCUGUUUAUACAUCUCCACAUCGAAUUGUAAAUGAAUUGCUCGAAGCUAAAAAAGGAAAUCUAGAUUAUCUGAAAGCUGCAGAAUCACGCGAUGAUUGUGACAUCUCAGCAUUAUCCCAAGAUGUGAUCCUACUUGCAGCUCAGACUUUCAUGUUUCGAAACAAACAUUACAAUGUUUCUGAUGAAGAGGCUCUUCAAGCUUUCCACAAUGCCAUUCAAUAUCUAAAAGGGGAGCAACGUACAUCAGCUCAGUUCAUAAAGUGUGACAGCCGAGAGCUCACAGAGAUCAUCCGAUGUGUAAACCGAUAUUUCAUUGAAGAAAGCAUAGAUAUAAUCGGCCUUGAAAUAGCUAAAAAAGUGAUGGAUAGUAUUAAUCAAGGCACAGAGCCUCCAAAACCAGACGGGUAUUAUUUUUUCAUGGGAUGUACACUUGCUGUCUGAAGUUGAUUGCCUCAGGUUUAACUAUUCAGAGAGAAAUUUAAUAUUUAGAAAUGAGAGUGAUGAUUACAUAUUUCCAGAGUGGGAGAGAAUGGGGCAAAACUGUUAUCGCUGGUACAUUUUUCGUGCACAGGGUAAAUACAGCGGGAAGGACUAUUUACGCCGUACAAUUAAAAAGACUACUACAAUCGGGGGUAGUGUUCGUGAAUUUAAAGGUGAUUUCAGAGCCAGCGAAGAUCCUGCCCUUCUGAAACGAUUUCAAGAUGCCAAAAUAAACGGGAACUGUACUAGUGAAUUCCAGAGGACAGCUGCAUAUAGCUGGAGCAGAGAUGGCACACCUCCUGCGCACCCAUACUUCAUUGUGGCUCAACUCUACUGGCCUCGUAUUCCACUCAAUUCAAACUACCAGCUGGAACAAAUCACAGAUAAAGUAGCCCUAAGGGUACUUUACGAUGAGAUACCUGCUCUAGAGGAAAAAAGAACAACUGAUCUUAAAACAUACACUUGGUUUUUAAACAAACCAGAGAACGCGGUUAAUGACUUCCCAGAACUGAAAGAUUAUUCUGAGGGUCAGACUUUCUCUGAUGAUUACUUGCGUCCUUCAACAGAACCCCUUCAAACUGAUGGUUUUACUUAUGAGUGGUCAAGAGAAGAACAUGAAAGCACACACCAAGACUUCACCUUAAUAUUCAGAGCGAGGCCAACCUGUGAAAGAGUUCCUCAGGUCAUUACAGAGGAAACGAGAAUAAGAUUGGAUUACUGGCAGUAUAUCAAAGAGUUUGUGUUCUUUGGUGGGUCACGACGUGAAGGAACAGUGCUUGCCCCGGAUCCAGCUUGGAUUGAUCAGGCACACAGGAAUGGGGUCGCCAUAUUUGGCACAGUUUUUUGCCACCUUUGACCCUUGGGGGAGACAAGAAAGACACGGAAGAACUGGCAAAACUGGAGAACCUACAGAAAUUAGUGGACAUUGCCCACCGAUUAAACUUUGAAGGGUGGUUUCUGAAUGUCGAAAGCUUCAAAAGAUAUGAUGAUUCUUGCUUAAAUGAUCUGAAACUCGCAAUUCAGAAAAUGGAUCUCAGGGGUAAAGAAAUUAUUUGGUAUUUACCCAUGUGUGAUGAAAUUGACCCCAAAUCAAAAGGAGUAAGGAUGACAUGUGAUAAAAAAAAUAAAUAACACAGCAUUUGCCUUUCUGGAAGAAGAGGGAAAAAAGUUGUAUUUGAAUUUUUUUAAAUUGGUUUGCCAAGUGUUUUCUAAUCAGGCUCCUCGGAAUUACCUCAUGUUUGUUGAUGAACCCUAUUGGGUAAACACACUUAAACACAGACAGUAUUUAGUAGAUCCUAUCAGAUUUCCAUAUGCACAUAACUGUCUUUGGCAGUUCUUUCUAGGUGAAAAUGGUCUGGAAAGAAACCCAACAGAUACAUAUCGCUGGUAUGGAAUUGCUAAAUAUGCAAAACAAAGAAAAUGAUUAAGUAAAGAUUUAACUACGCAUUUUCUCAAGUUGGAAUUCAAGCUAUCCAAGAGAUUUUGAUUUCAUCACCUUAAACAUCAACAUUAGAGUUCAAACCAGCCAUAAUUGAAGCUGCAUCUUAUUUCUGUUUCACACUUUUCAUACCCUUAGCUUGCAAUGCACACCACUUCAUUGUUGGGAAUGGAAUAUGUAUCUGAGAUUGUUCAUCUUUUUCUGUUCUUUAUUAGAAUAAUCUUAAAGCUCAUUUAAACUCUUGCAAGUACAGGUAAUUCAUGUACAUUACUCUGUGUUGUUUAUUUGUUCUAUUGUAUCUUAACAAAAGGUAGUAUGAAAGAUGCUCUGGAAAACGUGUCACACCAAUCCUUGUAAAAUCACGCCUCAAUGUUUAUUUUAUUGUAUGUGCUUAGGAUUCAUUUUUUUUUUCCUUUCAUAUAAACACAAAAGUCAUAUUUCAGCCAAUAGCCAAAUGGGUUGUUUUAAAUAGUUAAAGUGUUGCUUUUAUUGUAUUCUUUGUUCAUAUAAUGAUUGAAUGGAAAAUGUUGAUAUAAAAUUUUUUUUUUUUGUAUAAUGUUUUUGAUUAUUGUGCUUGUAUGAAGUCAUGAAAACAUACUAAUAAACAAUUAAUAAAUAAUUAUUAGGUUUAUUGAAUUGCAAAUAAUUUAAAACUGGUAAGGUGAUCAGUAAAUCUUUAUGGGCUGUCUGUGUUUCACAGACUAUCCACGGGACUGUUAAGAUGAAAAAGACACUGUACACAAAAUAUUCCAUAUUUCCAAGCACUGUUAUAAACGGCUAGAAAAAGAUUAUUCAUCAAAAUGCAGCCUGCAGGGUAGUCAAAUAUUUACACUGAUAUAUUACAGCCAGAAACGAUGUACACAUUCAGUGACAUGAAAUCCAUUCAGUAAUAGCCCUCCCAUUUCAGUUACAACAAUCACAUACAACAGCUGUGCUUGAAAUGACUUCAUCAUCAUCAUAAUCAUAAUCCAUCAAAGAAAAUUAAUAUUAGGCACAUAUCCUAAAAUUAUUCACAAAUUAUAUACACAGUGUACACACAACAUAUUGGCAGUGCUGACAGCAUUACAGAGCUAUGAUAUUUGGCUUCCAUUGAAAUCCACGAUGAUGUUGCAUAGGAGCGAUGACUGACAGGAAUCACACACUGGAGUGAAAUGGAAGCAACGGUGUAACUAAAACCCUGCAGCACCAUACCGACAGCAUAUGACAAUGUAAAGAAGGUGAAAACACUGAAGAGCCCCAUAUAUAAUGCUUUCCCAUGCAAGGAAACUCACUGUCCAUUCAAAUAAUAUUCCUUAUAGAGAAUCAAAGAUAAAAUCUUAUGUACAAAUCCUCCAGAAGCAUCCUUGCAUUACAAAGCAGCAAAUACAGUAUAUUAUUAAUCCAAUGACUAUGUGGACAUAUGUUACUCUUUCACAUUAAAUGCAAGAUAUGUACACGAAUAAAGGCCAAAAUGGUCAAUGAGGUAUACUCAUACACCAAAUUAUGAACAAUUUGUCACUGUGCUCUUGCCAAGAUGUGUUGAGACGGUCUUAAAGCACCAAGCAAAGCCUUACAGCUGAACCCCUCAAGAUGAUCUGUGCCAGUAGUGAUCGUAUGUAUUUCACAUAAAAAAGCAUCAUGUUUGAAAGUAGAUAUCCCUUUAAUUGUGUAGCAACUUUGCUUAAAAAAAUGGUUACAGUCGACCUGUCGCUCCCUUUUUCCACUUCCUCUUUUCUAAACGACACAUUUUGCACCUCUGAUAUGAUAUGAUAUGAUGACUGUGCGGCUGUUUAUUUUAGGCAAAUUCAAAGAACUAGCACUGCAGUGGAUAAAAUCAGCAUUUCUUUAGAACUAUAAAACAUAGUGCCGUUUUUUCUUUACAAAAUGGAGUAAGGCACCAGAUUCCAUUCAGCACCAAAAACAGAGCGCAAUCGAGCGUAAAAAAUAGAUAGACGGGCUUUGUGCUACAGUAGAACACUGGAACAUGCGGUCAGCAGUUAAGGAACGGGUGGUAACAAAAAAAUAAAUCAGAAAGGCAAACAAAAGCACGUCCCAGAUGGCAAACGAGGUAAUUUUUCUAAUCAUCACAAUAAAUAAAUCCAAAAUCAUAAGUGUAGCACCAUGCUAUUUCAUCCGCAUCCUUAUCAUGUAAAACAUGAAAUGAUGGUCAGCUUCCGAUCAAGCUGGUUUUGUAAAGUCAUGAGUAAGUCCAUCAUUACAGGGAAAGUCAAUGUUCUUUUGAGUGAUGACAGUGAUGCCAAGAUGUUGGUCUCGGUUUAGGAUGUAAUUCCUCUGAUUCAUCAGUAGAGGGUAAGACAAACGAGCAUUGCAUUGCGUGCAUAAGUAUCUUCAACAGCUAAGGUGUGGUCACAUUUAACCGAAGUUUGGCAAAUUUUUGCAUGUGAAAUCCAUGUAAUCGGGAAUUUCGUGUGAUGGCGGAAAAUGUAUCUAUGCAGAUUUCGCAGCAGAUUCAGGUUAGGUCACUCUGAUUCACUGUUUGGUUUGGUCACUCUGAUUCACUGUUUGGUUUGAAAGUGACUCGUGUGAGCUCUGUUUCACACAUCGCUACAUUAUUGACGACAGACAAUGAACCCUUUUUGUCCAUAAAAUUUAGCUAAUGUGACCGCACUUCUACUUUUGAGGUAAAAAUUUGGACAAAGCACUUUCUUCUGAUUUUUGUUGUUGACAAAAAUUAAAAAAAAAAAAAAAAUCACACUGAAGUACUGUUGGGUUUUGGCGCAUAUAUAUUUCUCUCUCUUUAUAUUAUUUUUAUAUAUGAAGCGGGUUACCAGCACCCGUAGAUGUGAUGUAAUGACGUGAUCACAGUUGAGGAGUUAAAUGGGAUAAUGGAUGAGGCUGGAUCAUAGCGUGGACUCCAGCGAAGAGUCCAGGAUGUCAUCAUGGUGACUGUUACUAUUGGAGUCGCUGUCGUAGCUCUGCGGGCUGGAGCAGCUGGCCGCCUCUUUCAGACGCAGGAGCAUGUUCAUCUGUUCACACAACACACAAAAACAACAGUCAGGCCUGAUGACAUAACACCUUCAAAAAGAAGUCAUAUUUGAAGUAUAAAGAAAUGACCAAAUCUAGAACAUACUCAUUUGUUUUCCUGUAUUUUUGACCUGUAGAGAUGCAUUAAGAACUGAAAGUCUUAUUUAUAUAUAAAUAUAAAAAACAUGCAUUUAUACAAUGCACA
rnacentral:lncRNA from 1 species